rnacentral:rRNA from 1 species
UACGAAGGGGGCUAGCGUUGCUCGGAAUUAUUGGGCGUAAAGAGCUCGUAGGCGGUUCGUCGCGUCGGCUGUGAAAUCCCGAGGCUCAACCUCGGGUCUGCAGUCGAUACGGGCGGACUGGAGUUCGGCAGGGGAGACUGGAAUUCCUGGUGUAGCGGUGAAAUGCGCAGAUAUCAGGAGGAACACCGGUGGCGAAGGCGGGUCUCUGGGCCGAUACUGACGCUGAGGAGCGAAAGCGUGGGGAGCGAACAGG